UACGUAGGUGGCAAGCGUUGUCCGGAAUUAUUGGGCGUAAAGCGCGCGCAGGCGGUCCUAUAAGUCUGAUGUGAAAGCCCCCGGCUCAACCGGGGAGGGUCAUUGGAAACUGUAGGACUUGAGUACUGGAGAGAAGAGUGGAAUUCCACGUGUAGCGGUGAAAUGCGUAGAUAUCUGGAGGAACACCGGUGGCGAAGGCGGCAUCCUGGACCGGCAUUGACGCUGAGGCGCGAAAGCCAGGGGAGCAAACGGG
rnacentral:rRNA from 1 species